rnacentral:lncRNA from 1 species
AGCCAUAGGUAUUUACCGAAAUCUGGGAAAACUCUCAGUGGUGGUUUCUUCAUGAUUUUAAUGUCCAAAACAUACCAACAUAGUCAGAAAUGCACUACAAGGACGAAAAGAGAAACAUUUGGAGUGUUUUGAGGCUUACACAUGUCUCAGGUGAUAGAGACUCACCAGAGUUCCCUUAUGCUCUCGCACCGGUUUCAUAGUCGUUACACGCAGGGGGAGAGGGACAAGAAAAGUGAGGGAGGUCAGAGAGAGAGGGUUGUGUGUAUGUGGGUGUGUAAGCUACCCUCGGGGAGGGUUGUUUUCCAAGAGGAGUUGAGGGAGAGAUGAGAAAGAGAGGUUUGAGAGGGAGAGAGAUAAAUAGGACAGAGAGAAAGGAAGAGAGGUUGGGUCGGAGGAGACAAAACCCAAAGGGUGGGCCUCAUGUGGCUCACCAAUUAAGACCAAAUAGUAACCCAAUUCAAAAUAUCUUAAACCCAAAGUGAAAAUUACGAAGAUACCCUUUCGUUCCAAAAUCCGUAAUAUUAAUCGGGAUGGGUUAUUACAAUCUACCCCCAUUAAGAAAACUUCAUCCCGAAAUUUUAAAUAACGUACUAUACAUAAAUACUCGAAGAUAUGAGAGAAUAUAUGUAUAAAGAAGAAAUCAAGUCAGAGUGGUUGCAUCAAAGAGAAUAUGCCACCUAUCACGACCGGGUUGCAAAAUCCUCUUUCAUGCCUCCAAGCUCUUACCUUCAACCCCCAUCAGUAUAAAAAUGGAAGCAUACUUUAUAAGGAUAUAAAGUCAAAAAUUGUAUAAUUACGUAUAGUCAAAACUAUGUACGUAUAAUACAAUAACGUCGAAAUAGAUAUGUACUAACAUAGAGGUCGAAAAACCCGUAAUAAACUUAAUAGUGAAAGUGGAAAUGACUCGACCAACAUUUGUAACGUCAAAAAUACAAUAUAUAACAAUAAUAAGGUAAUUCAAUAUACUUGUACUGAAAAUCAAAACCGAAAAUGGAAGUGGGUCUUGCCCAAGCAUUUGAAACGUCACGUACUCCGAGAAUAGAUGUGUGUCUUUGGGUUAAGCUCCAACAAU